rnacentral:lncRNA from 1 species
UCUAGACUUCUGCAGCUUGGUAAAUUUAUAAUCAGAAAGUAAUUUGUCCGUACAGCAAGCUUCCUUGGAGUGAUAAAUGGAGUUCUUGAUUAGGCAAGAAGAUGAAAUUUCUGUUUCUCAUGCUUUUGAGAUGAAGGGAUAUAAACCAGAAAUAAUGCAAUUCUUGUCCUCACCUUCUUUUCUCCAGCAGUGAUUGAAUAUUUCAGCUGUACAGUGUGAAAUCAGAGUUUCUCAUUGCUAUGUUCCUGACAGAAUCAUAGCAGAAAGGUCUCCAAAUUGCCUGAUGGGCUGUAGAUUGAUUUCUGUACCACAGGUACAUUUGCUCAUUUACAACCAUUCUCAGCAUUUUCAAAAAAGGAUGCCUAAAAGUGUGAUGGUAUCCGGAUGUAUGGAGCAUACAGUUCAGAGAAAAGCUUUCCUUCUGCCUUCUUUCUUCUCCACACUCCUUACCACUGUUGAUAAGAAAAUGAAGACAAGAUGAUCUCUUCUGUUUAUACAUGUUUUGUUGUAAGGCUUUUGCUUUGGGCUAAUUUCUUCCACUUGGCCGGCCAGCUUUUCUCCUGGGAUCUCUGAUAGUUGCUGUAGUGUUUGGCAGCCUGUGGCUCUGCAAGGUGUAAUGACUGGCUUCAAAUUUUCUGCUUUCUUCUGUCACUAUAAUACCUGGUGUUAGAAGUGCUGUUUACGAACUCCUUUUUUUCUUUUGAGAGGGAAUGACAGAUUACCAUUCAUCGCAUACACUUGUAAACAUUUCAACUGGAAGUAACCAGAAGAGUAGUGCAAUUAUUCCUUGUAGCUUUCUCCAGUAUUGCUCUUCGACAUUAUAGACAAACCAGCAUGAAUAUUCUUUUUUUCAUCUGAGCAAAAGCCAAUGCAGUUUUGUGUUAGGACUCCCAUCACGACCAAUUUCCUUUGCUGUCAGUCUACACCUUCUGUUUGUCAUUUCUUUCUUAGUAUGCUAUUUAAAAUAUGAAUGUUCUUUCUUUGCUGCAUAUACUGUGAAGUCUGCUUUGUACAAUGUGUCAAGUUUUUGUAUCUUACAUUUGCACUUAUUUAAGUUGGAUUUGAGCUGUCACAUUCAAAAUUUGCUAUAUUUCUAGUUCACAAAAUGCAUGUGGAAUUUUCCUGUGAUGGAGUGACUGUUGUGAACUGGGCUCUUUGGCAAAUAAUUUCAUGCUGAGGAACCAGAUGGACAGGCACCCAAGCAGAAUACCUCCUUGUUUAAAUCAAUAUGAACUGGAGGCCAUUUCUUGGUAAUUGAGUUAAUGAGGUCAGUGAGAACUUCUUACUAGGAAUAAUUUGAAUGAUUUUGUAUUCUUAUAAUCACUUGUUAUGAAUGUACAACCAGUGUGAUCAUUCCUGGCUAGCAACUCAGAGAUUUAAAUGUUGAAAUGGAUAUUUGUGAUGACACAGGAAGUCUUUGUGGAAUUCACAGUAUUUUCAAAAACUCAGAUCAUUAUUUUAGGUUCAUAGGAAUAGUAAUUUUUAAAAUUAUUUUUAAUUUGACUUUGUGUUUCUCAGGCGUUACUUAAUAAAAAAAAAACAACUGUGCCAAUUCUCAUCCUUAAACCAAAACCCAAAUCCUCUCUUCCUUGCUUCUGCUAUCUCAAAGGAGGUAGUAUGGAAAUACUUAGAAAUUUGGUUGGCAUUUAUGCUAUGAAUGAGAAUUUUGAAAACUGAUUGGGCUGAAUAUGGUUGCUUUUCCUCUGUAUUUUGUACUGAAUGUUGUUUUAUUCUCUACUCAGGUGUAACUUUGAUUUUAUCUUGCAUUUUAGUCUUGGAAAGAGUUUUAGCAUUAAAUGUGCAUAAGUGACAUUUGCCCCACAAAGAUGGUUGUUGUCAGGACAGACUGAAAAAGCAAACCAAAAGUAAAUCAAAAACUCCUCUAAAGAAAUGACUUUUUGUGGACAGCAUAAAUUAUAGUGAGAUAAUGGAAAUGUUACUUGAUGUAAACGCUACCUGAUCAAAAGUCAACACUUGUACAAAAU